GGUAUCCUAGUCACUAACUCGUAAUCCCGAACGAAAGAAUAGGUGUGGUCAAGAGUAGUGACACCCCUAAGAACAAGCUCACGUCUAAGAUCAUCCCGUAGGCCUUGCUUAAACCUACUCAAAGUCAUGACUUCAUCCUAACGACAUGACAUCUCAUUCGAAACUCGUCAAACUGAGCAACAUAUUCGGUCACAGGUCGACUGCCUUGCGUAAGUGCGUUCCAUUGAUCCAGCAAGUUGCCCCUGUAAGAUUGAGGUAAAUAUUUUUCUUCAAGGCGACGCUUCAUUUCAUCCCAAUUCCCAACAGAGGGAGCAUGGCGCCUCUCUAGGAGGUCCUCAACACUUUCC
rnacentral:lncRNA from 1 species